CGAGGCGCAGUCUGAGACGCUCAGGCAUCCUGAUGAAGGACUUAGGAGUGAAGAGGAAUCCCUGGGCCUGUGCCACACCCCAUCACCGCACACAUGACGGAGGACCUGAGACAGGUGACCAUACCCAAGGUCACUCUGUUUGAGCCUUCAGAAGCAGAGAUCGCCAAGACCCAGAAGGCUACGCUCGUGUGCCUGGCCACAGGCUUCUACCCUGACCACGUGGAGCUGAGCUGGUGGGUGAACGGGAAGGAGGUCCACAAUGGGGUCAGCACGGACCCUCAGCCCUUCAAGGAGCAGCCUGGCGUCAAUGGCUCCAAAUACUGCCUGAGCAGCCGCCUGCGGGUGUCAGCCGCCUUCUGGCACAACCCCCGCAACUACUUCCACUGCCAAGUCCAGUUCUAUGGGCUCACAGAUGAGGAUGCGUGGAGCUACAAUGAGAUCAAACCCGUGACCCAGAACAUCAGUGCUGGGGUCCGGGGCAAAGCAGACUGUGGCUUCACCUCAGCGUCCUAUCAGCAAGGCGUCCUGUCUGCUACCGUCCUCUAUGAAAUCCUGCUGGGGAAGGCCACCCUCUAUGCUGUGCUGGUCAGCGCCCUUGUGCUAAUGGCCAUGGUCAAGAGAAAGGACUCCUGAAGCUCUCAGCAGAUGAAACCAGCAGCUUCCAACCUGUGCCAGUGGCAGUGCGGAUGCUUCCUAUAUCAAUGCUUCUGGAGAUGUGUUCUCAUCUCUCUACAAAGCCCAGUAUCUUCCCCCUGUGUGUGUGUGUGUGUGUGUGUGUGUGUGUGUGUGUGUGUGCACACUUAGGCCAUCGUGGCAGAAAUCUCCCUGGCCCAGAGCAACCUUAGCAUUCCUGAAUGAAUUAAUGAAUAAAAGCACCCUGGUCAGGGUUGCCUCUGA